rnacentral:rRNA from 1 species
UACGUAGGGGGCAAGCGUUGUCCGGAAUUAUUGGGCGUAAAGAGUGCGUAGGCGGUCUUCUAAGUUUGGUGUGAAAUCUCCCGGCUUAACUGGGAGGGUGCGCCGAAGACUGGAAGGCUUGAGUAUGGGAGAGGUAAGCGGAAUUCCUGGUGUAGCGGUGAAAUGCGUAGAUAUCAGGAGGAACACCUGCGGUGUAGACGGCUUACUGGACCAUAACUGACGCUGAGGCACGAAAGCGUGGGUAGCAAACAGG